UCGUCAGCUCGUGUCGUGAGAUGUUGGGUUAAGUCCCGCAACGAGCGCAACCCUUGUUAUUAGUUGCCAGCAUUAAGUUGGGCACUCUAAUGAGACUGCCGGUGACAAACCGGAGGAAGGUGGGGAUGACGUCAAGUCAUCAUGCCCCUUAUGACCUGGGCUACACACGUGCUACAAUGGGCAGUACAACGAGAAGCAAGCCUGCGAAGGCAAGCGAAUCUCUGAAAGCUGUUCUCAGUUCGGACUGCAGUCUGCAACUCGACUGCACG
rnacentral:rRNA from 1 species